rnacentral:miRNA from 1 species
AAGCAGCAUCAGGCAGAUAACU